GAUAGAUAUGUGCGUGAUUUGCAAGAAAAUUUUCAAAAGUCACAUGAGAUUGCCAGGGAUAAGUUGAAAGCCGCACAAAAAACAAUGAAGCGGGAUUAUGAUAUUAGAGCCAGAGAACAUCAAUUUAAAGUAGGUGAUGCUGUGUACUGGCGCCGGAACGCAGAAAAGAAGGUAGAGUCAAUGUGGAUAGGCCCAGGUGUCAUAGUUGAAGCAAAGUCCGACACAGUUUUUGCUGUGAAGUCACGUCGGGAGGUCAAGAUCAUGCAUCACGACAAACUAAAGAAAUGUGAUGCACAGAAACUGGCAAAGUGGUUGGUAGAUUACUUGAGAUCACGGCAAAGUAAGUUGCUAAGUGUCCCGGGUGAUCAACCAGAUGAUGAGGUUAGUGUUGGCGGAUCAAGCAAUACAGAUAGUACUGCCGCCAAAGACUCUGCAGGUAUUGCCACUGAGGAGAGACUUACGAAACAGCCUGAUGGACCAUUCAGGGGUUCAAGGUCUCAUUCUAAGGGUAUUACUAAGCAUGAUGAAACUAUUGUAGCAAAACCGCCAAAGCGGGGACAGAAAAGAUGGGCAAUAUAUCCAGCAAAGGGAUCGCUAUGGAUAAGAGACCAUGGACCGCCAGGAGAGACGAGAGGGCCUGGGAUCAUGGUGCUUCCAUUCUGGACAGCCGUUGCCAGUGAUUGA
rnacentral:sRNA from 1 species